rnacentral:misc_RNA from 1 species
ACACACACACACCCACCAACCCCUUAAAAGCCCUAAAAAGGGUCAGAUACUCAGAUGUAAACAAUUGUCUCAUCACAUUAGCUAAUAGGCUGUUUGUGUGGUUUGUACCAUGACAAACACAAAUAUAUAAAAGGGAAAAAAGGAGAAAAAAAAAAAAAGCUCUGGCCUCAUUGUAGGUAAGUUUUAUCUCAAGUAAUGCUCCAAAAGCAAACAAUGCAGAAAAAGGUAGAGUACAAUCUAUAAGCUGCCAUUCCAGAAACAAAGGCAUUUCAUUAUUUUCCUAAACCUAUAGCAUUUAAAAGAUAAGUUUUCAAAACAAAAUGACUAAAAGCAUCCCAAAUGUGUGAAGGCAAAAAAUACAACUAGAGCUUCAGUUCACAUCCAACAUAGAAAUAAUGAUACUGUAAUCCAGUUAUAUAACUUACACUUAUAUAACUGAG